CUAGACUCAUAUUAUGUGAGGUUUGCCCCUCAUAUUCUUAGGUCACAUAGAGAAUUCAAUUAAGUAAUAACCUUCAUUUAGUUCUUUCCAUAUUAUGCCAUAACCCACUAGUUAUGGUCUUAUAUGAUAUGGUUCCAUGUACAUAUCCUUUCAGAGAAUCGUGUUUAAAGUCCCGACACACUCUGUGAAGAUAGACACAAACUCACCUGACAUAUCUUUUAUGCUUUGAC
rnacentral:lncRNA from 1 species